rnacentral:rRNA from 1 species
AGAGUUUGAUCCUGGCUCAGAUUGAACGCUGGCGGUAACUUUUAAACAUGCAAGUCGAGCGGUAACAGACAUAAAGAUUCAGCUUGCUGAAUCCGGUGCUGACGAGCGGCGAACGGGUGAGUAACGCGUAGGAAUCUACCCAGUAGCGGGGAAUAGCCCGAGGAAACUCGGAUUAAUACCGCAUACGCCCUGAGGGGGAAAGGGGGCAGUUUACUGCUCUCACUAUUGGAUGAGCCUGCGUAAGAUUAGCUUGUUGGUAGGGUAAUGGCCUACCAAGGCGACGAUCUUUAGCUGGUCUGAGAGGACGAUCAGCCACAUUGGGACUGAGACACGGCCCAGACAUCUACGGAUGGCAGCAGUUAAGAAUAUUGGACAAUGGGGGCAACCCUGAUCCAGGUAUACCGCGUGUGUGAAGAAGGCCCUAGGGUUGUAAAGCACUUUAAUCAGAGAAGAAGCAUUUUAAGUUAAUACCUUAAUAUGUUGACGUUACCUGAAGAAUAAGGACCGGCUAACUCCGUGCCAGCCGCCGCGGU